GCUAAACGCGAAGAACCUUACCAAGGCUUGACAUCCCUCUGAAGUAUAUAGAGAUAUAUACGGCUUUUAGGAGACAGAGGAGACAGGUGGUGCAUGGUUGUCGUCAGCUCGUGUCGUGAGAUGUUGGGUUAAGUCCCGCAACGAGCGCAACCCUUACUUUUAGUUACUAACAGGAAAAGCUGAGGACUCUAAAAGGACUGCCGGUGAUAAAUCGGAGGAAGGUGGGGAUGACGUCAAAUCAUCAUGCCCUUUAUGUCUUGGGCUACACACGUGCUACAAUGGUCGGUACAGAGGGAAGCGACACCGUAAGGCGAAGCAAAUCCCAAAAAGCCGAUCCCAGUUCGGAUUGCAGGCUGCAACCCGCCUACAUGAAGCUGGAGUUGCUAGUAAUCGCAGAUCAGCAUGCUGUGGUGAAUACGUUCCCGGGUCUUGUACACACCG
rnacentral:rRNA from 1 species